rnacentral:lncRNA from 1 species
AUUGAGCCAGUUGUGCCAAGUAUGAACUGAACUGCUAGACCAGGGUGGUGGGAGAGGAGGUCUCAUGCUGCCGACCACUGACGUGUCUUGAUGUCUUUCUUUUUUUGCUGCCAGUGGACAUCAGUGACAAUGAUGAUGACAUCGAUGAGUACGAGUUGUCAGACGAGUCCAACCUAUCCCGAGUGCGUGAAUGUGGCUUGUCCCUCUCCCUGGCUUCGCUCUAUUCAGGUUUGCUCAUCUGCUGUCCGCCAAAGCCGUGUGCGGAAAGCCUCUCCCGCCAGACCGGUGUCAACAACGCCUGCCACAGAAGGCAGUCACAGCCGUGGAAGGAAAGAGGAGCCCUCGACAGCAGUUUUCUCGGGUGGACACCACUUUGAUGGUACAAAAUCAUCUAU